rnacentral:lncRNA from 1 species
ACAAACUACUGCAGUGUAUGUACAGCCGAGGAUCACUAGCCAGUGUACAGAAAGAAACACGAUUCAGUAAACUCAACGUUUUGCUUGGUUUCUUGCUCAUUCAGAAAGACACAAGAUUCAGAAAAGUGUACAUAAAGACACAGGGUUCACUGUACAGUGAGAGAACCCUCUAAAUCUGAAACAUAACUCCCAUUGAGUAAAAUCAACAUUCAGUAAUCCUGAUGCCCAUUUAGUAAACUCAACAGGAUUACAAACUACUGCUUGGUUGCAGUGACAUCUUCAGGUCUUGGGUUCUUGGAGGAGAGGAAAGGGAGCAGCGAGGAUGCAGACCAUGCAGAAGUGGACGGCGAUGAAACGACAACUCCGGUUGGCAAGGGAAGCGACGGAGGAACAUCCUCUUGGAGGAGACGCGAGGGAGGCGUGAGGCAGUUCUGAUGUGGAGAUGGCGGCGGUGUCGCCGUCGACCCCAUCAGCAGGAAUGGCUAGCAGGUGCGAGGAGCGGCGCACUGAUGCAGGCGUUAUGUCGGGGGCGGAGGAUGGGCGUCAGGUCGGAGGAAGGGUGCCCCAUCGGAAGAGAGUACGUCUUUUUUUUUUUGGAGAAGAGGCGGGGGUGACACGGGUUCUUGCCAAUUAGUUGCCUUCGUUUUCUUGCCAAUUCAUCCAUCUAUGACAAUACAAAUAACAGGAAACUUAGCACACAUUAAUUUUUUCAGCAUGACAAGCAAUGAAGAGAAGAUAAAUAGUUCAAUAAAUUCCUUCAUGCAUAAAUUUUUCUGUACUCGGCUGUGUUUCUCUGUACAGCAACAAGGGCUCGGGCUCUUCCCUGUUCAAGGUUGGGAGCCGAGGCAGGAAGGACAGGGAUAGGGGAAGGAAGAGAGGAGGAAGGCGGGGGAAGGGAAGAAAGGGGCGGAUCUGCUACCUCUCCCGUGUCAGGAUGUACUCCGGCGGCGGCGGCGAGUUGAGGCCGGCCAGGAGCAGGGGCAGGCCGGCGACGAGUGGCGGAACGGCCAGGCGCAGGG